UUGAGUGUUGAACAUCAGAUAGUGGCGAACGGGUGAGUAACGCGUAGACAACCUACCUUCUAGAUGGGGACAACACUGCGAAAGUGGUGCUAAUACCGAAUGUUGUAUUUUGGGUGCAUACUCGAAAUACUAAAGGUGGCCUCUAUUUAUAAGCUACCACUAGAAGAUGGGUCUGCGUCUGAUUAGCUAGUUGGUGAGGUAAUGGCUCACCAAGGCGACGAUCAGUAGCCGGUCUGAGAGGAUGAACGGCCACACUGGGACUGAGACACGGCCCAGACUCCUACGGGAGGCAGCAGUGGGGAAUCUUCCGCAAUGGACGAAAGUCUGACGGAGCAACGCCGCGUGAGUGAAGAAGGUUUUCGGAUCGUAAAACUCUGUUUUCAGGGACGAAUGUGCAAUAUGUGAAUAAUGUGAUUGUA
rnacentral:rRNA from 1 species